UCCGCCUUGGUGUAAUUGGCAACACGGGGACCUUUGGUGUCUUCAGUUCCAGGUUCGAGUCCUGGGGGCGGAGCCA
rnacentral:tRNA from 1 species